AUGGUUAAGUUAGAAAGGGCGCACGGUGAAUGCCUUGGCACUAGGAGCCGAUGAAGGACGGGACUAACACCGAUAUGCUUCGGGGAGCUGUAAGUGAGCUUUGAUCCGGAGAUUUCCGAAUGGGGAAACCCACUGUUCGUAAUGGAACAGUAUCUUUAUCUGAAUACAUAGGAUAUUGAAGGCAGACCCGGGGAACUGAAACAUCUAAGUACCCGGAGGAAGAGAAAGCAAAUGCGAUUUCCUGAGUAGCGGCGAGCGAAACGGAAUUAGCCCAAACCAAGAGGCUUGCCUCUUGGGGUUGUAGGACACUCUAUACGGAGUUACAAAGGAACGAAGUAAAUGAAGCGACCUGGAAAGGUCCGUCGAAGAAGGUAACAACCCUGUAGUUGAAACUUCGUUCCCUCUUGAGUGGAUCCUGAGUACGGCGGAACACGUGAAAUUCCGUCGGAAGCUGGGAGGACCAUCUCCCAAGGCUAAAUACUACCUAGUGACCGAUAGUGAACCAGUACCGUGAGGGAAAGGUGAAAAGCACCCCGGAAGGGGAGUGAAAGAGAUCCUGAAACCGUGUGCCUACAAGUAGUCAGAGCCCGUUAAUGGGUGAUGGCGUGCCUUUGUAGAAUGAACCGGCGAGUUACGAUCCCAUGCAAGGUUAAGCUGAUAAGGCGGAGCCGUAGCGAAAGCGAGUCUGAAUAGGGCGUUUAGUAUGUGGUUGUAGACCCGAAACCAGGUGAUCUACCCAUGUCCAGGGUGAAGUUCAGGUAACACUGAAUGGAGGCCCGAACCCACGCACGUUGAAAAGUGCGGGGAUGAGGUGUGGGUAGCGGAGAAAUUCCAAUCGAACCUGGAGAUAGCUGGUUCUCUCCGAAAUAGCUUUAGGGCUAGCCUCAUGUUGUGAGAGUCUUGGAGGUAGAGCACUGAUUGGACUAGGGGCCCCCAACGGGUUACCGAAUUCAGUCAAACUCCGAAUGCCAAAGACUUAUCCAUGGGAGUCAGACUGCGAGUGAUAAGAUCCGUAGUCAAAAGGGAAACAGCCCAGACCACCAGCUAAGGUCCCCAAGUAUACGUUAAGUGGAAAAGGAUGUGGAGUUGCUUAGACAACCAGGAUGUUGGCUUAGAAGCAGCCACCAUUUAAAGAGUGCGUAAUAGCUCACUGGUCGAGUGACUCUGCGCCGAAAAUGUACCGGGGCUAAACGUAUCACCGAAGCUGUGGAUUGACAUCUUUGAUGUCAGUGGUAGGAGAGCGUUCUAAGUGCUGUGAAGUCAGACCGUAAGGACUGGUGGAGCGCUUAGAAGUGAGAAUGCCGGUAUGAGUAGCGAAAGACAAGUGAGAAUCUUGUCCACCGAAUGCCUAAGGUUUCCUGAGGAAGGCUCGUCCGCUCAGGGUUAGUCGGGACCUAAGCCGAGGCUGAAAAGCGUAGGCGAUGGCCAACAGGUUGAUAUUCCUGUACCACCUCCCCGCCGUUUGAGUAAUGGGGGGACGCAGUAGGAUAGGGUAAGCGCGCUGCUGGAUAUGCGCGUUCAAGCAGUUAGGCUGAUGAGUAGGCAAAUCCGCUCAUCAUAAAGGCUGAGCUGUGAUGACGAGGGAAUUAUAGUACCGAAGUUCCUGAUUCCACACUGCCAAGAAAAGCCUCUAGCGAGGCGGGAGGUGCCCGUACCGCAAACCGACACAGGUAGGCGAGGAGAGAAUCCUAAGGUGAUCGAGAGAACUCUCGUUAAGGAACUCGGCAAAAUGACCCCGUAACUUCGGGAGAAGGGGUGCUCUGGUAGGGUGUAUAGCCCGAGAGAGCCGCAGUGAAUAGGCCCAGGCGACUGUUUAGCAAAAACACAGGUCUCUGCGAAGCCGCAAGGCGAAGUAUAGGGGCUGACGCCUGCCCGGUGCUGGAAGGUUAAGAGGAGGGGUUAUCCUUUGGGAGAAGCUCUGAAUCGAAGCCCCAGUAAACGGCGGCCGUAACUAUAACGGUCCUAAGGUAGCGAAAUUCCUUGUCGGGUAAGUUCCGACCCGCACGAAAGGCGUAACGAUCUGGGCACUGUCUCAACGAGAGACUCGGUGAAAUUAUAGUACCUGUGAAGAUGCAGGUUACCCGCGACAGGACGGAAAGACCCCGUGGAGCUUUACUGUAGCCUGAUAUUGAAUUUUGGUACAGCUUGUACAGGAUAGGUAGGAGCCUGAGAAGCCGGAGCGCUAGCUUCGGUGGAGGCGUCGGUGGGAUACUACCCUGGCUGUAUUGAAAUUCUAACCCGCGGCCCUGAUCGGGCCGGGAGACAGUGUCAGGUGGGCAGUUUGACUGGGGCGGUCGCCUCCUAAAAUGUAACGGAGGCGCCCAAAGGUUCCCUCAGAAUGGUUGGAAAUCAUUCGUAGAGUGUAAAGGCACAAGGGAGCUUGACUGCGAGACCUACAAGUCGAGCAGGGACGAAAGUCGGGCUUAGUGAUCCGGUGGUUCCGCAUGGAAGGGCCAUCGCUCAACGGAUAAAAGCUACCCCGGGGAUAACAGGCUUAUCUCCCCCAAGAGUCCACAUCGACGGGGAGGUUUGGCACCUCGAUGUCGGCUCAUCGCAUCCUGGGGCUGUAGUCGGUCCCAAGGGUUGGGCUGUUCGCCCAUUAAAGCGGUACGCGAGCUGGGUUCAGAACGUCGUGAGACAGUUCGGUCCCUAUCCGUCGUGGGCGUAGGAAAUUUGAGAGGAGCUGUCCUUAGUACGAGAGGAAUGGGAUGGACACACCGCUGGUGUACCAGUUGUCUUGCCAAAGGCAUCGCUGGGUAGCUAUGUGUGGACGGGAUAAGUGCUGAAAGCAUCUAAGCAUGAAGCCCCCCUCAAGAUGAGAUUUCCCAUAGCGCAAGCUAGUAAGAUCCCUGAAAGAUGAUCAGGUUGAUAGGUCAGAGGUGGAAGCGUGGCGACAUGUGUAGCUGACUGAUACUAAUCGAUCGAGGACUUAACCAAA
rnacentral:rRNA from 1 species